rnacentral:rRNA from 1 species
AUUGAACGCUGGCGGCAGGCCUAACACAUGCAAGUCGGGCGGAGCGGCGGCCGGGUGAGUAAUGCCUGGGAAUCUGCCUGGUAGUGGGGGAUAACGUCCGGAAACGGGAGCUAAUACCGCAUACUAUCAGAUGACCCUAGGUCGGAUUAGCUUGAUGGUGAGGUAAAGGCCAACCAAGGCGACGAUCCGUAGCUGGUCUGAGAGGAUGAUCAGUCACACUGGGACUGAGACACGGUCCAGACUCCGACGGGAGGCAGCAGUGGGGAAUAUUGGACAAUGGGCGCAAGCCUGAUCCAGCCAUGCCGCGUGUGUGAAGAAGGUCUUCGGGUUGUAAAGCACUUUAAGUCGGGAGGCGUUACCGACAGAAGAAGCACCGGCUAACUUCGUGCCAGCAGCCGCGGUAAUUC